UAAGCAUAUCACUGAGCGCAGGAGAAGAAACUAACCAGGAUUUCCCUAGUAACGGCGAGCGAACCGGAAAGAGCCCAGCUUGAAAAUCGUGGCGCCCCGGCGCCUCGAAUUGUAGUCUGGAGAAGGUCCCUCUGCGGCGCGCCGGAUUCAAGUUCCCUGGAAUGGGACGUCCGAGAGGGUGAGAACCCCGUCGUAUCCGGAGUGCGCCGCUCCACGAGGACCUGUCUGCGAGUCGGGCUGUUUGGGAAUGCAGCCCUAAGCGGGUGGUAAAUUCCAUCCAAGGCUAAAUAUUGGCAAGAGACCGAUAGCGAACAAGUACCGCGAGGGAAAGAUGAAAAGGACUUUGAAAAGAGAGUUAAAAAGUGCUUGAAAUUGCUGGGAGGGAAGCGAAUGGAAGCUGCGGGUGCGCCCCGGUUGGAUGUGGAACGGCCGUCAAACGCUGGUCCGCCGCUCAACGCGGGGCGCUGGUCAGCGUGGGCCAUCGCGGCGGGACAAGAGCGGGGAUUCGCUUCCCGCCGAUGCCGCUGCGGUGGCCGAGGAACGAAGCGCGCGCCUUCCGGCGUGGGACUCGUCCCAACUGCGCGCUCGAGACGCUGGCGUAUUGAGCUCUUCAUCCGACCCGUCUUGAAACACGGACCAAGGAGUCUAACAUGUAUGCGAGCCGGUGGGCGGCAAACCCAUUGAGGCGCAAGUAACCUGACAGGUGGGACCCCGACCGCAAGGGAGGGAGCACCAUCGACCGACCGUGAUCUUCUGUGAAGGGUUC
rnacentral:rRNA from 1 species